AACGAACGGUGGCGGCGUGGAUAAGACAUGCAAGUCGAACGGAACUUUUAUUGUAGCAAUAUGAUGAAAGUUCAGUGGCGUAAGGGUGCGUAACACGUGGGAAAUCUGCCGAGAAGUGGGGGAUAGCUCGCCGAAAGGCGAAUUAAUACCGCAUGUGGUCAGCGAGGACAUCCUCGCGAAACCAAAGCCGGGGCAACCUGGCGAUUCUUGAUGAUCCCGCGGCCUAUCAGCUAGUUGGUGAGGUAACGGCUCACCAAGGCUAUGACGGGUAGCUGGUCUGAGAGGACGACCAGCCACACUGGAACUGAGACACGGUCCAGACACCUACGGGUGGCAGCAGUCGAGAAUUUUUCUCAAUGGGGGCAACCCUGAAGGAGCGACGCCGCGUGGAGGAUGAAGGUCUUCGGAUUGUAAACUCCUGUCAUUAGGGAACAAACCUCCCGGUUAACUGCCGGAGAGCUGAUAGUACCUGAAGAGGAAGGGACGGCUAACUCUGUGCCAGCCGCCGCGGUAAUAC
rnacentral:rRNA from 1 species